GAAGAAGAAGAAGGGAGAGCUGGAGACAAAGGAGCUGCAGAUCUGAAUAUCCAGUGAGCUUGGAGCCAUGAAGCUGCCAUGCACUGAUCUUUAAAAGGAAUUGGCCAGGUGAUUUCCCCUAUUGGGGUUAAAGGAUGGCGAGCUUCUAAGAUCUGGCUGGAGCCAGGAGAACCGAAUUUCACUCCAUACUGGUCUGGUAGGAGUUUGAUGGUCCAUGAACUUUCCCCUCCUUCUCAUUACACAGACACACUACCCAGACACUGUGUUGACCAAGCGGGGAAAAGUGAAGGACUCUGUGCACAUUAGAACAUCAACUGCAGUAUUGUGUAUAUAUUUAUUGUAUUUUGGUUUCCAUGUAUGUUUUGUAUUGUUUAUUUAAUUUUCUUCUUUAAAAAAAAUACAUAGUAUUGAAAACAGUUACUCUCUUGUAUUGUUUUAUUGAUUGCUGACGACAGCUCCAGCAGACCAAUUUAGUUUUCUGAUGUCAGAAGCUAUUUAGUCCUUCAGUGCAUUAAGUACUGCUACAUUAUAAACAUCAAAUAGUGCUACAUCUACAAUUUAAAAAUGAAUGUUAUGCCGACAUCCUGUCACCAGAGGGCGCUGUUACAUAAAAUGAAAGAUGAGGUCAUUUUAUUUCUGUCACAUUUUCAGCGUGGUCAGCUGGUUGUUGAGCCUCAGGACUUCCUGUCCUUCAUGUUUUCAGGUUUUAACACACCAGUGAGCUUUAUGGGUCAGGACUGAUGAACUCUGAGGUUUGGUCAGAAUCAGAUUCCUUACUCCGAACCUCAGCUCCAGCCUCCUGCUAGAAUAACAACAUAAACUCCUGAAAUACUUUCUGGCUUUCAGAUAUGAAUUAUUGAACCAAAAUCAUUUUCCUCCCCUCUGGAGCUCCAGGGAAAAAUCUGACCAGAGGUUUGAGUUUUAGUCUCUAAGGUCAGCAGCUUCCUGUUGCUUUAUAAUUAAAUGGGUCAUUAGCUGGAUUCUGUGGAAUUCUGGGUAAUGUAGUCCUGCUGCAGCAGAGGAACAUCUCAGACAUGCAUGGGGUCAGAGGUCAUGGGGUGUCAGUGUGUUUCAUGAGAGUUAAAAAACAAAAACAGCUCAGAGGAGUCCAGCUCUGGUUCUGACUGAUGCUGCAGGUUCUGGUUCUGGUUCAGCCUGGUUCUCUGGUCCAGAGGAACAUGAAGCUGAUCAGUUGAGUCCAGUAGUUUGAUUUGAUCUCAGACCUCACCUUCCCUCAGGUGAAGCCGUCCUGUCCUGCUCAGGCUCUCACCUGUAGCCCCACCCACUCACAGCUCCGGCCAGUUGAAAAACGGUGUGACUGUGACAUCACUUGUUAACUGGCAGAGUUCAGCUGAGGCUGCUGAUUAAAUGUUGAUGCAUUAUAUUAUAUUUCUCUGAGAAAAGCCAUUUCUCUCUGUAAAACCUGGACUGGAUCAAAGUUAGGACUGGACUGAAUUUAGUUGUUUCUUAGUAAAAACUGAAUUGGAUUUGUGUGAAAACUGAACUGAACCCUGUGAAGAUACUUGAUUACUGUCCAUGAUUAAAGUCCUCAUUGUUUGUUGUUUUUAUGUGUUUUUAUUUAUGCUUUUGUUUUUUUGCUGCUGUGACACAUUUAGGUGAUAAAUGUGGGUUGAACAAGAACAUCAGCACAGGAAGAGGGUGGGCUCAGACUUCACUUAGUUUCUAGUAAAAAAAACGUAAAACUGCUCAAUGAGUCAGAGCUGCAAUGACGGAAACAUCGUUUCACUGUCUGACCUUCUUGACCUACUUGCAGGUUUGUCCAACCAUUCAAGCUGCUCUGACUGUGAGUCCCAGCAGAUCUCAGUUCUUUAGAGGAGAAUCAGUGACUCUGAUCUGUGAGGAUGAAAAUAGACCUGAUGGAUGGACUGUGAGGAGAAACACAAGCAGAGGAACCAGGAACCGAUGUGGAGAUGGAUGGGGGAAAUUAAAUGGUUCUACCUGCAGCAUCAGUUACCUGUAUCCAUCAGAUACUGGUCUGUACUGGUGUGAGUCCAUGUCUGGAUCCUCCAGCAGCAGCAGCAGCAUCCAGCUCUCUGUCUCUGAGGAACCCUCCAUCCCUUCUACCCAAACUCCCCUUGCUGCCCAGGCCUCCUCCUCUCUUCUUCUCUACGUGUUGUUGCCUCUUGCGUCUCUGUUUGUUCUGAUUAUGUUCGUUUUUCUGGGACGGCGCCUUUGCAACAAGUCAAGAGAUCAGAAAGAACUGAUGAGCGACGGCAGCGAGACCUGCGACCAUGUCACAACAUCAGGUCAUCAUGAGGAGAACCAGAGGAGAAAAGGUUCUGAUGGAACCAGGUUCAACACAACUUCACUGUUCUCACCUGGAAAACAGGUUUCAACAGAGAUUCAGCUGCAGUCGACUCAACAGUGAGACGACAAGACAGCAGUUAUGGAGAAAUAUUCAUCAAACAUAUGCAUCACAAGUCAGACACAACAGAGAGCGAUUCAGCUGUGAUUUAUUCAGCUGUCAGAACAGACCGAUAAUCAGAGAAAACAGAAACAGAGCCACAUCAUCUCCUCCUCACUGAGAAAAUCUGCUGAAGUUCUGCUGCAGAAGUUAGAUUCUUCCUCUUGCCUUCAGCAAGCCGUAGAUCUCAGGAGCCAAAUCAUCAUCAUCACCUGAAAUGAUGAAGAAGCGUCUGCUGCACGUCUUCCAGCUCACUGACAAACACAGAGAGGUUUGUCCUGCUGGCUGGAGGCCUGAGAGACACAAUCAUCCCGACGUGGAGAAGAAGAAGAAGAAGAAGAGCAAAGCAGGAAAUCCCAAGAUCUUGUGUCAGCAGAUUGUUCUUGGUUCUGGAUUGGAGGUUUCCCUGUGAAAGACUACAGAUCUGAUCCACUAGAACAAACUGAUCUGCUUCCUCUUCAGGUUUUAUCCUUCUCUGUUCAGGCUGCAGUUGAUGGAAAACCUCUUAGUUUCACUGAAACUACUUUAGUUUGACUCCUUUUUUGUUUUUCAGAAAAUGAUAUUUUUCCUUUGCUGUCAUUUGCUACCAUCUCUAUUAAAACUGUGGA